UGAUGCUUAGGUAAAUCAAACUUUCUUCACCAUACAACCACAUUCAGAUGUUGGCAUAAAAAAAUAAUAAUAAAAUAAAAAUCAGCUGCUGAAUCAUUAAAGGGAAAAAAAGAGAGAGAGAAAGCAACACAAAGGAAGAGGCUUCAAACCUGGUGUACUACUGCUGAGCUAAAGCACAAAUCUCGUAGCACUAUGGAUAUCAUUUCUUUUAUUUCUGCUCAUGACAAGUAACAAAAGAAAAUACAAAAUUCACCAACUUAUAUGCCAGACUAAAUGUUUCCCUCAAAUAUCUGAAGAUAGGGUGUUAUAACCAGAACCAAGGAGGCAUAAGAAUAAGAGCCUUAAACAUUGUAUACAGCAACAAGAUAACCAAACAAAUCGAUGAACAGUUUACCAAACAAACAUAGGAGCAUUAAUGACAUUGCAAUAUGUGAGGAAGGAAAAGAAAAACACAAGAUAGAUAUUCCAAAUUUUUAUAUUCUUGCUUGGUCCUAUGCAUAAAUAAAACCCUUGAAGAAUGCAUGGUGCAUCAGCCACAAUACAAUGUUAAUUUAUAUGCAACCAGCACAAAUACAAAGUUACAAAAUUAGACAAUAAUUCUUUCUUCUUUUUGUAUCUUUUUUUUUCUUGCUUUUUCCCCAUCUUUUUGGUGCAGGAAAGUCUUGAGCUCAGAUUAAAGGUGCAGCUUCAAUAGAUUUCAAUGUGGUGCCAUCAAAGGCUUAAGGGUCAAGGCACAUAUUAUCGUGUUUGAAAAUUUUCGAAGUUUUAACAAAUUCCUCAAAUGUACCCUUGACAUAUGCAGGGUGCAUCAUCAAUGUUAAUUUAUAUGCCUCCACAAAUUACACAUCAAUUCUUUCUCCUU
rnacentral:misc_RNA from 1 species